ensembl:miRNA
UGAGCUGCGCUGUGCUGUGCUGAGCUGUGCUGUGCUGUGCUGAGCUGAGCUGUGCUGUGCUGAGCUGAGC